rnacentral:snRNA from 1 species
GUGCUCACUUCGGCAGCACAUAUACUAAAAUUGGAAUGAUACAGAGAAGAUUAACAUGGCCCCUGCACAAGGAUGACACGCAAACUUGUGAAGCGUUCCAUUUUUAA